rnacentral:lncRNA from 1 species
UUUUGGGGGUAAAGAUAGUAAUCACUGAAGAAUCAAUUGCUUCCUUGUUGAACAUGGAGAAAGAUGGAGGAAAAAGGAUUUACAACAUCAACCCUAGAUCAAGGCGCGUUGCUGAAGUAAUUAAUCCAACCAUCUUCAAACCCAACACUGAAGGAAAUCCUUCAAAGAACAAAGAGCUGCAUCAGAACCUCAGAGUGUGGCUCAAGAU